CUUUUGUUGCCAAUGCUUUUGGUGUUUUGUUCAUGAAGUCCUUGCCUACUCCUAUGUCCUGGAUAGUUUUGCCUAGAUUUCCUUCUAGGGUUUUCAUGGUGCCAGGUCUUAUGUUUAAGUCUUUAAUCCAUCUGGAGUUAAUUUUGGUGUAAGGUGUCAGGAAGGGGACCAGUUUCUGCUUUCUGCACAUGGCUACCCAGUUUUCCCAACACCAUUUGUUAAACAGGGAAUCCUUUCCCCAUUGCUUGUUUUUGUCAGGUUUUUAUCAAAGAUUGUAUGGUUGUAGAUAUGCUGUGUUGCCUCUGAUGCCUCUGUUCUGUUCCAUUGGUCUAUAUCUCUGUUUUGGUACCAGUGCCCUGCUGUUUUGAUUACUGUAGCCUUGUAGUAUAGUUUGAAGUCUGGUAGUGUGAUGCCUCCCGCUGUGUUCUUUUUGCUUAGAAUUGACUUGGCUAUGCGGGCUCUCUUUUGGUUCCAUAUGAAGUUCAUGGUGGUUUUUUCCAGUUCUGUGAAGAAAGUCAAUGGUAGCUUGAUGGGGAUAGCGUUGAUUCUGUAAAUUACUUUGGGCAGUAUAGCCAUUUUCAUGAUAUUAAUUCUUCCUAACCAUGAACAUGGGAUGUUUCUCCAUCUGUUUGUGUCCUCUCUUAUUUCGUUGAGCAGUGGUUUGUAGUUUUCCUUGAAGAGGUCCCUUACAUUCCUUGUGAGUUGUAUUCCUAGGUAUUUUAUUUUUUUUUUGUAGCAAUUGUGAAUGGCAGUUCGUUCUUGAUUUGGCUUUCUUUAAGUCUGUUAUUGGUGUAGAGGAAUGCUUGUGAUUUUUGCACAUUGAUUUUAUAUCCUGAGACUUUGCUGAAGUUGCUUCUCAGUUUCAGGAGUUUUUGGGCUGAGGCGAUGGGGUCUUCUAGGUAUACUAUCAUGUCAUCUGCAAAUAAAGACAAUUUGGCUUCCACCUUUCCUAUUUGAAUACACUUUAUUUCUUUUUCUUGCCUGAUUGCUCUGGAUAGAACUUCCAGUACUAUAUUGAAUAGAAGUGGUGAGAGACGGCAUCCUUGUCUACUGCCGGAUUUCAAAGGGAAUGCUUCCAGUUUGUGCCCAUUCAGUAUGAUAUUGGCUGUUGGUUUGUCAUAAAUAGCUUUUAUUACUUUGAGAUAUGUUCCAUCGAUACCGAGUUUAUUGAGGGUUUUUAGCAUAAAGGGCUGUUGAAUUUUGUCAAAUGCCUUCUCUGCGUCAAUUGAGAUAAUCAUGUGGUUUUUGUUUUUGAUUCUGUUUAUGUGGUGAAUUACGUUUAUAGACGUGUGUAUGUUUAACCAGCCUUGCAUCCCCGGGAUGAAUCCUACUUGAUCAUGAUGGAUAAGUGUUUUGAUUUGCUGUUGCAAUCGGCUUGCCAAUAUUUUAUUGAAGAUUUUUGCAUCUAUGUUCAUCAUGGAUAUUGGCCUGAAGUUUUCUUUUCUUGUUUGGUCUCUGCCGGGUUUUGGUAUCAGGAUGAUGUUGAUCUCAUAAAAUGAGUUGGGAAGGAUUCCCUCUUUUUGGAUUAUUUGGAAUAGUUUCAGAAGGAAUGGUACCAGCUUCUCUUUGUGUGUCUGGUAGAAUUUGGCUGUGAACCCAUCUGGACCUGGGCUUUUUGUGUGUGGUAGGCUCUUAAUUGCUGCCUUGACUUCUGACCUUGUUAUUGGUCUAUUCAUAGUUUCAGCU
rnacentral:lncRNA from 1 species